ACAGACCAUUACGACGAGUUCCUUCCAAACUUCUCUGGCUACGUUUACGAUUCCAAACGCUGCGGCGCGGAGCGGUUCCUGUCCGUCCCUGCGAGCAGAGCUGCCCACCAUCCGCCCACAAACAGAUGUUAUUUACGCACGAGCCCGCUGCCGGAGCGGGGUUUUACCUUUGCAGUAACAGUGAGGAACAGCCCCACAGGAGCACGGCGCUCCCGCACCGAGCGCCGCCGGAGCCGCCGCGCUGCUGGCUGCGAGCUACCGGCCCGAGCUCCGUGGCCGCGCGGCGGGAGCUGCUCCGCUCUCCUCGGGCCGGAGGGCCCCGCCGGCUGCACGAACAAUGGGAGCGUCUGCAAUGGGCCGGGCCCCGCUCGACCCGGGCCCAGCGCGCUUCCCGCCCGAGUCCUCCGUCCUCCUCCGGCGCCUUCUCGCAGCCCCGUGACCCCUCGCUCCCUCUCGGAGCUCCGUCGGCUCUCGCCGUGCCGCCGAGGGCACCGCGGCUUUAUCCUCCCGGCUACUCACCCUCACACUCUAUGGCCCUCGGCGCAAAGCGUGCCGCAGGGCGAGCGGGACGGCUGGGCUGGCCCGCGGCCAGCUGCGCUCCGAGCCUAUCCCGGGGUCGGCGGGACGGCCUAUGGGAGCCGCGCAGCUCCGCUCGCCGCCCUGACCUCCUCCCGCCCCGCGUGCCAUGAGCGGUGCCGGCGGGAGGGGAGGCAGCGCCGCGCGGCCCCACCUGGGCUGCAGUGCGCGCCGCUUCCCUUCAGGGGACGGUGCUGCGCACAGAGGGCCGCGCAGCAUUGUUCUCCUCUGACCCCGGGUCCCCGCGCCCGGAGAGGGGCCGAGGAGGGCCGGGAGGGACGGGCGGGCGGCGAGAGGACAGAGGAGGCCCGCUUUGCCCCCCCCCCCACCCGCGCUCCAUCCCGUCGGGGAGCCCCGCUCCGCUCGGUGCCACCGGUCCCAUCCUCCUCCCACACGGACGCUCCCCCGAGGCCGCUCUUCCCGCCUCGUUCCAGGGCUGCGGGCGCAGUGCUCCGGUCCCCUCACACCUCGGAGAGGUUCGCAGAGGCCGCGGCCGUACCGCUCCCCCGGCACGCUCGGGAGCGGCGUGUCCACACAGCGGGACACGCGGGGACGGAACGGGGCGAGCGGAGCCGGGCACAGCGCUGA
rnacentral:lncRNA from 1 species